CCUCUGCCCUUCAGCCUUGUCUCGGUACUUGGAGAUUGCCUCUGCAUGCUCCACCUCCUCGGCCCCUUUCACGACCAAGCACUCUCCCUCCAUGAGAGCAAGGGAUCAAUGACUUUCACGGAAGUCCCGCCUCUGCGGUACCAUAGCGCUGCCAUGCCCAUGGCCCUACUAUUCGUCACCUCACAUCUGCAUCCCUUUUCUUCACGAUCAGUAGAUAUGUCUCCGUGGCACUCCUCUGGGUCCACCUCCAUUCUAACUGAUGCUUGAUUUUGGGUAGCUAAGUCCCUCUGGACUCGUCGUUGCUUCCUCGCCCUUUUCGACCCCUUGCGUCAACACCUCUGUGUUCUCCAAGCAGUCCGUUUGGUCGAUGGAAAGACAGACUG
rnacentral:lncRNA from 1 species